CCUGUCAGUGAUGAUUUACUCCAUUUUAUAUUCGAGUUUCAAUAACCAUGAGAUAUCUUACAUGCACUACCAUCUGAGACAUC
ensembl:snoRNA SNORD33 Small nucleolar RNA Z195/SNORD33/SNORD32 family